UACGGGGGGGGCAAGCGUUGUUCGGAAUUACUGGGCGUAAAGGGCUCGUAGGCGGCCAACUAAGUCAUACGUGAAAUCCCUCGGCUUAACCGGGGAACUGCGUCUGAUACUGGAUGGCUUGAGUUCGGGAGAGGGAUGCGGAUUUCCAGGUGUAGCGGUGAAAUGCGUAGAUAUCGGGAGGAACACCGGUGGCGAAGGCGGUUCUCUGGGCCUGUACUGACGCUGAGGAGCGAAAGCGUGGGGAGCGAACAGG
rnacentral:rRNA from 1 species